GUUAAAACCCUGGAAAACAAAAGGUAGGAUGCAGGUUAAAUAUGUGUCAUGGUCUUUUGGUUUUGGUUGCAGUUUGUUUCCUGUUUUAUUUUGUAGCUUCCCUCCUCAUGUGUCAUGUUUUGUUUUACUUCCUGCCUUUGAGAUUGUCUGCCCCGCCCUGAUCAGUCUCACCUGUCCCUAAUUAGUUCUGCACUCACCUCACCUGUUCUCACUUCCCCAGUUAGUCAGUCACUGCUCACACCACCUCACUUCCUUUGUACUCUGUCAGUUUGUAUUUUGUCGUGCAUGGAGUUUUGUUUGUUUGUUUGUUACCUGUGUGCUGUUACCUGCCGGCAUUUUGGAUUCUCAGAAGUUUCUACAAGUUUCUGUAUAUCUGUGCCACUGAAUAGAAUACGCUCUUUUAAUUAAGGUAAGGUAGGAUCUUUACGGUAAAGGUGCUCUUUUUAUGUUUUACUUUUUAUUUCAUUGAUAUUUGCAUCUUGAACACUAUCAUGGGGGGUGUCUAUGAUUUUUUUGACCUUGUCUGCUUCCUAAACAAAAUAUUCGUUGUAUAUACAAUUACAUUUUCUUUUGUUUGUUUAGUUCCUAUUUUCUAAUAUUUUUCUGUCUUAAUAAAGGGUGGUGAACUGUGAAAACACCAGGAACAACAAUGGUCUCAAAGUGUGACAUGCUGUGUAUCAUAAAUAUAUUAGAAUAUUAUCAGCAUUUAGUGUGUGUUUUAGCAACAACACGUUCACACAUUGAGCUUGCACGUACAGUGAGCCUUCUUAGUGGCACCUUGAAUUACCAUCUGUAAGAAGACGCAAACAAUAACACACAAGGUGUCAUUGUGUACAAAAAUAACAGGCAGGGCCGAGGCAAAUAAUAGUCCACUUCACACUGUGGCGUUUCCUAUUAUACUUCCUAUAUUAUUCUCAAUACUGCUAUACCAAUAGCAUGGCAACUUACACAGGCUAUCGACCAUGUCAUUUCCAUUCUGUUGCUACGGCAACAGCUUUGGUCCAAGUUUACUUCCUGUCAGCUGCUGCAUUGACAAACAUUGCAACAGGAAAUACAAAGUGUGGUAUUCACGACAUAUGCUGUUCCACUCAUCUGACGCCACGGGCCAGUCUCCGAUACUCUCGAUGAGCUUCAGGAGGGGCUGAGAGUCACGCUGCUCUAUGAGGCCUGCAGUGAGCCCAUUACCUUUCACCAUCGAUGUGUAGAGGACUACCAGCCCGGCCAAGGCACAGCUGACCAACAGCAGCAGCACGGACAGACCGAUCUCUGCAGCAGUCCAACGACGCUUCCCAGGUUUACUUGAUUUCUC